rnacentral:rRNA from 1 species
CACGUAGGGGGCGAGCGUUGUCCGGAUUCAUUGGGCGUAAAGGGCGCGCAGGCGGCCCGGAAAGUCGGAUGUGAAAACUCGGGGCUCAACCCCGAGCGUGCACCCGAUACCGCCGGGCUUGAGGCAGGUAGGGGAGAUCGGAAUUCCUGGUGUAGCGGUGAAAUGCGCAGAUAUCAGGAAGAACACCUAUGGCGAAGGCAGCUCUCUGGGACGGUACUGACGCUGAGACGCGAAAGCGUGGGGAGCGAACAGG